UCUGCCAUUGUGCCAAGGUAAACAGAAGAAUGUGGUCCCAGGCAUCUGGGGGACAAAUCUUGUAGUUGCCCGUUAGCAAGCCCUUCCCACUCUUCUUUGUAGUAGAUUUAGCUGCAACCUGGAGAGCUAAUCUGAGCAUUCAUGAGAAAAACAAACAAGCAGAAGAGCCUUCUGGAGCUAUGCAAGAUAGAAGCAGAUUGUGUCCCGCAGCUGUGACAGCGGCUCCUGGGAUAGAAGCAGAUUGUGUCCCGCAGCUGUGACAGCAGCUCCUGGGAGCCCACUGAGGCUGGGGAAGAGCGAUGGCUGAGUGGCUUGAGCUUGGGCACAAAGCCACCCACCGGGAAGGCAGAGCCCCCAGGCUGAGGGCUGCAGCAGGGCGUCCCAAGUUGUUCUGCUACAUCCCACACUGAGAGCCAUUUCUCUGCUACAUCAACGCUUCUGCAGCCAAGUGCACGUUGUGAGGCUCGUCUUGCUGGCUUCCUAAUGGCCCCAUCAGUGGCUGGCCUGAAGAGAGAAGGACUUACUCACAUUGGACGGAUUUCUGCCUUCAUUCCUGUCCAGCUGCUGCGUAUGCUGACCUUCUGUAUGUAACCAAGUACCUCAGCCGGGAUGGACCCACGGACAGCAUCUUAUCAUCUCCCUGGGGAGGCUGAGCAAAGCCAAGAUGAGGGCACCAAUAGGCUGGUUGCUGGUAGUCUGUGGGAUUCCUUGACCUUUAAGAGUUGCUGGAUAAUCUCUGUCUUCAUUUAUUUUAUUUUAUUUUUUUAGAUUCUUGUGUAGUCCAGACUGGCCUUGAACUCCUUAUCUAGUCAGUGCAAGAUUUAUUUAAUUAACAAACAUAAUUACAGUUGGGUGGUAUAACAGGGCUUUAACUGACAUCUCUGAAGAGGAAAACUGGGGGCAGCUACCUUUAAAAAUAUUAAAAUUUAAGACAGUGAUUGUUUGUCAGACACACAUAUGACCAAAUUAUCCCCUGAAUUUAGGAAUGGACACAAUAUGUUUGUUUGCUUGCUUGUUUGUAGUUUUUGAGUCAAAGUCUUAUUCUCAAGCUUCAGACAUUGAACUUGUAAUUUUCUGCCUCAGUCUCCAUAGAACUGGGGCUCCAGGCAUUUACCACAACACCUGGCCAGUAUACAUACUUAAUACCUGUUAGAAAUAUUCUUUUCAGCUUAUUGGGAAAGUUAUAAUUCAUUUAGAAGAUGGUUGGUGUAAAAAUAGGGUGGACCUAAAAAACAAGUAAAUGCUCAUAUAAUAUAUUCAACUGAAACCUAAUGAAAAAUUUGUAUGACUUUGAAAUAGAGGCGAUUUUUAAAAAAAAAAA